GGCGCCGUAGCUUAGUUGGUUAAAGCGCCUGUCUAGUAAACAGGAGAUCACGAGUUCGAAUCUCGUCGGUGCCU